AGUCUACCUGCCCACUGAAUUUAUUUAAAUGGCCGCAGUAUCCUAACUGUGCAAAGGUAGCAUAAUCAUUAGUCUUUUAAUUGAAGGCUGGUAUGAAUGGUUGGACGAGAUAUUAACUGUUUCAUGAAAAUUUAUAAUAGAAUUUUAUUUUUUAGUCAAAAAGCUAAAAUAAAAUUAAAAGACGAGAAGACCCUAUAAAUCUUUAUAUAUAAAUUAUUAGAAUUUUGUAGAUUUUUUUUAUUAUAAUAGUUGAUUAUAUUUUAUUGGGGUGAUAUUAAAAUUUAAUAAACUUUUAAUUGUUUAAAUCAUUAAUUUAUGAAUAAUUGAUCCGUUAAUAACGAUUAAAAAAAUAAGUUACUUUAGGGAUAACAGCGUAAUUUUUUUGGAGAGUUCAUAUCGAUAAAAAAGAUUGCGACCUCGAUGUUGGAUUAAGAUAUAAUUUUAGGUGUAGCCGCUUAAAUUUUAAGUCUGUUCGACUUUUAAAUUCUUACA
rnacentral:rRNA from 1 species